rnacentral:rRNA from 1 species
AUUGAACGCUGGCGGCAGGCCUAACACAUGCAAGUCGAGCGGAGCGGCGGACGGGUGAGUAAUGCCUAGGAAUCUGCCUGGUAGUGGGGGAUAACGUCCGGAAACGGGCGCUAAUACCGCAUACUAUCAGAUGAGCCUAGGUCGGAUUAGCUAGUUGGUGGGGUAAAGGCCUACCAAGGCGACGAUCCGUGACUGGUCUGAGAGGAUGAUCAGUAACACUGGAACGAAGACACGGUCAAGACUCCUACGGAGGGCAGAAGUGGGGAAUAUUGGAAAAUGGGCGAAAGCCUGAUCCGGCCAUGCCGGGUGUGGAAAGAAGGUCUUCGGAUGGUAAAGCACGUUAAGUUGGGAGGCGUUACCAACAGAAUAAGCACCGGCUAACUUCGUGCCAGCAGCCGCGGUAAUAC